rnacentral:rRNA from 1 species
GCCCACUGAAGGGCCGAACCUACGUCUGUUGAAAAAGACGAGGAUGAGUUGUGGAUCGGAGUGAAAGGCUAAUCAAGCUCGGAGAUAGCUGGUUCUCCCCGAAAGCUAUUGAGGUAGCGCCUCGUGUCUCACUCCCGGGGGUAGAGCACUGUUUCGGCUAGGGGGCCAUCCCGGCUUACCAACCCGAGGCAAACUCCGAAUACCGGGAAGUGCAAUCACGGGGAGACACACGGCGGGUGCGAACAUCCGUCGUGAAGAGGGAAACAACCCAGACCGCCAGCUAAGGUCCCCAAAUUGCGGCUUAGUGGGAAACGAUGUGGGAAGGCCCAGACAGCCAGGAGGUUGGCUUAGAAGCAGCCAUCCUUUAAAGAAAGCGUAAUAGCUCACUGGUCGAGUCGGCCCGCGCGGAAGAUUCACCG